rnacentral:rRNA from 1 species
CCUGUUUCCCAUCGACUACGCCUUUCGGCCUCGCCUUAGGGGUCGACUCACCCUGCCCCGAUUAACGUUGGACAGGAACCCUUGGUCUUCCGGCGAGCGGGCUUUUCACCCGCUUUAUCGUUACUUAUGUCAGCAUUCGCACUUCUGAUACCUCCAGCAUACCUCACAGUACACCUUCACAGGCUUACAGAACGCUCCCCUACCCAACAACGCAUAGCGUCGCUGCCGCAGCUUCGGUGCAUGGUUUAGCCCCGUUACAUCUUCCGCGCAGGCCGACUCGACCAGUGAGCUAUUACGCUUUCUUUAAAUGAUGGCUGCUUCUAAGCCAAC